rnacentral:miRNA from 2 species
CGGCACCUGUUGGAGCGCAAUUC